rnacentral:rRNA from 1 species
CCACGGGGGGCUGCAGUGGGGAAUAUUGGACAAUGGGGGGAACCCUGAUCCAGCCAUGCCGCGUGUGUGAAGAAGGCCCUCGGGUUGUAAAGCACUUUCAGUGAGGAAGAACGCCUGGUGGUUAAUACCCAUCAGGAAAGACAUCACUCACAGAAGAAGCACCGGCUAACUCCGUGCCAGCAGCCGCGGUAAUACGGAGGGUGCGAGCGUUAAUCGGAAUUACUGGGCGUAAAGCGCGCGUAGGUGGCUUGAUAAGCCGGUUGUGAAAGCCCCGGGCUCAACCUGGGAACGGCAUCCGGAACUGUCAAGCUAGAGUGCAGGAGAGGAAGGUAGAAUUCCCGGUGUAGCGGUGAAAUGCGUAGAGAUCGGGAGGAAUACCAGUGGCGAAGGCGGCCUUCUGGACUGACACUGACACUGAGGUGCGAAAGCGUGGGUAGCAAACAGGAUUAGAUACCCUAGUAGUC